CCCGUGUACUUGAACAGCCCUUCUGAUUUCCCACAAUGCACCACUCACGAAUACGAUUAAAACCUUUAUACAGAAAGAAAGAAAUGUCGAUUUUGGAUUCGUUAGUGUUUUAAUAGAAGGCAUAUGCAGUGGGAUUUGUGUGAGAAGUACAACAUUUUCACUUUAAUCAUGAAGGAAAGGAGCUGAAAAGCGAAAGUUAAAUUUACCCUCAUCUAAAACGCUGUUGUGUGAGACCAGGUUUGGUUUCUCCGCGCGUGCGUGUUGAUCCUUCUGGUUCAGAAUAAUGAUGAUUGGUUUGUUCACAUUUAUUGUGAAAUGCGCAGCCUUCUUGUUACGUCUUGCGCAGAAACCAUCUGAAUUUUGUUUGUUGAUGAAAUAAUGGAGUUUAAAUUGACAAAGAGCAAGAUUUUGGGGUCUUUUAUAAAAUUUGGGAAUAGGGUUUUGUUUUUUAGUUUGUGUUGUACUAUGGGACUCCUUAUAAUAUGCUUUCACACAAACGUUUCCUUAGACUGUGAGGUACCAAAGAAAGCUUUUGAAUAAAGAAAUCCUAUCCUAACCUAUGGUUUAUACAUCUCGUAAUUUGUCCCAUAUCAGUUGUUGUCAUAGCAACAGUUGUCAAAUCGCUUAUAGUGUAAGGUAAAAUUUGUUAACUAAUGCUGUUUUUUUGUUUGUUUGUUUGUUUGUUUUGUUUUUUACAAAUAGUAUAUUUUGAAACGGAGAUAUUCAGACAUUCUAAAUCAGCUAGCUAGCCAACUACUAGAGCUAAUACUUAGCUAGCUAGCAAAUUGUGAGCUUUGUGUGAAACAGCAUUAGGCUGAGCUCUGGCAUGAGUUUGGCCAACCAAAAGAAAUAAAAAGCAAAUGGGUUUUUUGGCUGAGUCUUGGCUGGAGUUUGGUCCACCAGAAAAAGAAAAUAGUCUGCUGCAAACCUGGGUGGGUUUAGGUUGUGUUUUGGUUAGCCAAAGUCCCCCUCAGUGUCUAUGAAUGGUUGUGAGUGAAUUUUAAAUGUCUUUUUCAUAUUGUUUUAACAGCACCAACUUCAUAUUGGUUUAUUCAGUAAAAUGGAGCAAAUAUAAAUCAAAUACUGAGACACUGUCUGACAGUCUGCUUCUUUAUAAUUUUAUAUCAAUCCAAGAAUAAAGAUCUACAACUAAACAAAAAGUUACAAAGACAAACCUAAUUCAUACACAUCUUACUGCUUAAACUGAAUUUGUCCCUGAAUAUUAUCUUCACAUGGACAUGCUAUUUUUGCUUCAUCAAACUUGGUGACCAUUAAAUUUUUUGCCUUCUCUAUAGACGAAACCGGCGCCUACUGGUUCAUUAUGACACUGAUGAUGAGGCUAUUGCACCCCAAAAAGACAAUUUGCCACAAGCCCCUCAAAUACAACCACCACCUAAAAGGAUUUGGUCAUCAUCUACUGAGCUACAACCAAGUCCUCAAGGACAAAGACACCCUCAACCCCCCGUAUGGCCUCAGAAAUCCCCGUGUCUGACAUUUCUGUGUUUAAUGUUUCAGCACUUCUUCAUGGCGUCUUAACAAAACUUGGAAUUGUUAUGGAGCAGCAAAGAAACCUUGUAAGAAUGGUUCAGGAUCUCAAAGAACACAAUGUCAGGGAGAUCACUGAGGCUAACCAAUUAGCAAUUAAAACGUUUUCCAAUUGAAGAUUUAAGAUCAUUAACUUCCCUGGAAAGUGAUCUCCGGAAACGAGACGAAAACUGGUACUCGAACUUGGAUUGCUGGGUGGCGUGGAUCUGAAGGACGCUGUCUGGAGAAUAAUGAAGCAGGCAAUUAUAAGUGACUUUGCUAAAACCAUAAACUGGAGAGGCAUAAAUGGAAAAACACCAUUCCAAAGUUUGGAGCUUAAAAGUGCCUUGUGAUUGAGGCUGUAAGAAGAAAUCCAGUUUGUGCGCAAAUGACUGAGCUGGAGGUUGAGCAAGUUCUCAGAAGGUGGUUUUAUUUUGCUGGUGAUCGUGAGGGUGGCAGAAAAAGAAGAACACCACUGCAAAAUGUUAAUGCAAAUAACUAAUUUUUUGUUAUUGUAUAAUUUAUACUUUUGCACAUACUUUUACUUUUGCACAUGUGUAAAAAUAUAUUUGUUUUUCUAACCAUUUUUUGUUUGUUGGUUUCACUUGAUUUCUGCACAUUUACUUUAAUUUGCACUGUUGCUUUGCUGUUUAACAUUUAUAUUUUAUUGCUCAGAUUUUAAUAACUGUAAUACUUCUAUUAUAUUGUGACUGUUGCUUUUAUUUUGUCUUGAUCUACUGCUAUUGGUUAAUCUGGUUAAUUGGUUAAACCAUUGUUCUAAUUUUAUUUCUGCAACUUGUUUACAUUUUUUCACAUCUGCAAAUAUAUUUUUAAUUCGUCUUUUAUAACCAGCUUUUGUUUGUUGGUUUCACUUACUUUAUUUGUGCACAUUUAGUUGUUUAUGUGCAUUAUUGGUUUACUUAACAUUUCUACUUACUGCUUAGUUUUUAAUCUCUGUUAUUCUUGUAACUAUGUUCCUUUUAUGUAGUCUUAUUCUUCUGUUAUGACUGGUUUUUCUUAUUUCCCAUUGUUCUAGUUUUAUUUUUGCAACCUUUUUUGCACAUCUGUAAAUAUAUAUUAUUUUGUUUGUCUUUUAUAACCAGAUUUGUUUGUUGGUUUCUUUUGUUUAUGCACUGCCCAUUUACACUUUUUUGUUUGAGAUUUUGAUUUAGUCACUAUACCCGUUUACAUUUUUUGGUUGGUUUCUUUGAUUUGUGCACUCUACAUUUUUAUUAUUAUUGAACACUUUGCCUAGUUUUUAUUCUCUUAUUCUUGUAUUGUGACUUUUGCGUUUGUUUUUUGUUUAUGUUGGUGUCUUUAAUUUAUUACACUGUCCAUUUACACUUUGUUUGAGGUUUUGAUUUAUUCACGACUACCCGUUUAUAUUUUUGGUUGCUUUCUUUGAUUUGUGCACUACACUUUUACUUUA